AUGAUGAGAUUGCCAGAGUAUUGCAAUAUAUGAACUUUACACAUUAUGAACUUAAAACCUGUUUGGAUGCAAUUUUAUAAGAGCAAUGAGAUCUGUCCAGCAGGAUUCUGUUUGAAAAAAUAGAAUGAACGUGAUGAUGUCAAAAGUGUUGGUUACUAAACCUAUUCAUGAGAAGUUGUGUCCAUUGAGAAGAGCUGUAUUAUAUCCAUCUGUAAUAUGA
rnacentral:lncRNA from 1 species